GAUGAACGCUGGCGGCGUGCCUAAUACAUGCAAGUCGAGCGAACAGAUGAGGAGCUUGCUCCUCUGACGUUAGCGGCGGACGGGUGAGUAACACGUGGAUAACCUACCUAUAAGACUGGGAUAACUUCGGGAAACCGGAGCUAAUACCGGAUAAUAUAUUGAACCGCAUGGUUCAAUAGUGAAAGACGGUUUUGCUGUCACUUAGAGAUGGAUCCGCGCCGCAUUAGCUAGUUGGUAAGGUAACGGCUUACCAAGGCAACGAUGCGUAGCCGACCUGAGAGGGUGAUCGGCCACACUGGAACUGAGACACGGUCCAGACUCCUACGGGAGGCAACAGUAGGGAAUCUUCCGCAAUGGGCGAAAGCCUGACGGAGCAACGCCGCGUGAGUGAUGAGGGUCUUCGGAUCGUAAAACUCUGUUAUUAGGGAAGAACAAAUGUGUAAGUAACUAUGCACGUCUUGACGGUACCUAAUCAGAAAGCCACGGCUAACUACGUG
rnacentral:rRNA from 1 species